rnacentral:rRNA from 1 species
AUGAGCGACCUCGAAAGUGGAUUAAGAUCAAAAGCAUCACCGGAACCAUGGGAUGUUGAGGUCGUUGAAACCAAAACCAUGGCCUGCAGCCCUGUGAGGGGUUCGACCUCUGAUGUCUCAUAUACACUGCGCCCGUCAAGCCCAAGUAGUACUACAACACAUGCAGUUUUCUUGGAGGAAACAUUGGUGAGAAUGGCAAAGGCUGUUCCUACAAGACUAGGUGAGGCGCUGCCCACCAUCUACAAGGUUCCCAAAGAACUUAAAAGGGGUGAUAUGGACAAAGGCUAUGAGCCGUUCGCUGUUGGCAUAGGCCCCCUUGCAGAGAGUAACAACAGCAGCACCGCCCAACUGGAGAACUAUAAAUGGUGCUGCGUGCGGCAGCUGAUUGGCUGGCAGUGGCACGAAGACCACCCAAACAGUGACGAAGAGCACCCAGAGAGUGAAGUCACUGCAGGUCUCCUAAACAAUUGCCUGGGGAGCAUGAAGGGUCUCGAGCAAGAAAUUCGGGCGUCCUACUCAGAAGAGAUUGAGGGCGACAGCGAUAUGCUGGCACUCUGGAUGGUACUCGAUGGCUGUUUCAUCCUCCGUCGCUUGCUCAAGUACGCACGCCUCGGGGAAGGGGAAGCAGAGGGCAUCGCUGAAGACUACGAUAGGACGCAGGUUAUCGGCAGGGUGUGUGUGUGGAAAUUAGUGGCAAGCGACCUACUGCUACUCGAGAAUCAGAUCCCUUUUUUCGUGCUGAGUAAGCUCUUUGAGCAGCUCUGGAUCCCGAGUGGUGAUCCCAGUGACGCCCUGGUCAAGGGCAGCCUUGGGCUUUUCCGCUCUUUCUGUCCCCACAUGCUGCGAACUUCAGUUACUACCAAUUCAGAGAUUGAUCACCACGGCUUGCACCACCUGCUGCACGUCAUCCGCCUCUCCCUCGCCGGCCCAACUGAGGCUGAGAAUGACAAGAACAUCAAGCAUUCCAGCCACCAAACACUCGAUUACAGGGGCGUGCGUGUCCACCACCUGCUUCACCUCUUCUACCUCUCCGUAGCCGGCCCGAGGCCAAAGCCGAGCUACCAAGCAUUCCAGCAGCCAAGCUGCUGA